rnacentral:rRNA from 1 species
AUUGAACGCUGGCGGCAGGCCUAAUACAUGCAAGUAGCGCGGAGCUGCGGACGGGGGAGUAAUGCCUAGGAAUCUGCCUGGUAGUGGGGGAUAACGUCCGGAAACGGGCGCUUAUACCGCAUACUAUCUGCUGAGCCUAGGUCUGAUGAGCUAGUUGGUGGGUUAAAGGCCUACCAAGGCGACGAUCCGUAACUGGUCAGAGAGGAUGGUCAGUCACACUGGAACGAAGACACGUUCCGGACUCCAACGGAAGGCAGCAGUGGGAAAUAUUGGACAAGGGGCGAAAGCCUGAUCCAGCCAUGCGGGGUGUGUGAAGAAGGUCUUCGGGUUGUAAAGCACUUUCAGCGGGGAGGCGUUACCCGCAGAAGAAGGACCGGCUAACUCCGUGCCAGCAGCCGCGGUAAUUC